rnacentral:rRNA from 1 species
UUGGAAUUCUGAAGAACAGGCGACGUACAACACCCAAAGUUUGGCC